rnacentral:rRNA from 1 species
ACGGCGAGUGAAGCCGGAAAAGCCCAUCGCCAAAUCUUCCACCUCUUCGGUGGCGAGAACUGUGGCGUAAAGGACCGUGCAGUCGGGAUGGCCGAAAGAACAAGUUCCGCGGGACAGGUUUGCUCCCAGAGUGGGUGUGAGGCCUUUAACGUCGAUCGUGCCGCUCGGCAAUGCACUGGUAGCCAGAGAGUAGAGUUGUUUGGGAUUGCAGCUCAAAGCGGGUGGUAAGCUCCAUCUGAGGCUAAAUACCGGCGCGAGUCCGAUAGCGAACAAGUACCGUGAGGGAAAGUUGAAAAGAACUUUGUAAAGAGAGUUCAAAAGACCGUGAAAGCGCCUACGGGCAAACUGGAGGAACCGACUUUUUGCGACUGACGGAAUCCAGCUCCCCGAACUCGGCGCACGAGUUUUCGGACGCGUUCUCCUCGGGGAACGCGACGGCGAUCUUUGCGUCCGCGAUCGAGGGUGUAUCUUGCGUCUGGUCGCCGGUUGCCGCGGUUUCGACGUGCUCCGUCUCUGGCUUGGGGGAGUGUGGCUUCGCGGCCCGUCUCGGCGGCUUGUUCAAGGUCUGCCCCAGUCACUUGGAACGGCGGACGAUUCGUCGGAACGCGGUCUCACACCCCCGCGCCGUUUUGCAGCGAGAGUUUGGAAAGCGGUCGAUCAGGUCGCGCCCCAAAUUUCCCCGCUAGCGGGUGUUGUCGGGGGUA